CCUACGGGUGACAGCAGUGAGGAAUAUUGGUCUAUGGGCGCAAGCCUGAACCAGCCAAGUAGCGUGCAGGAUGACGGCCCUACGGGUUGUAAACUGCUUUUAUGAGGGGAUAAACUGAGGCACGUGUGCCUUUUUGUAUGUACUUUAUGAAUAAGGAUCGGCUAACUCCGUGCCAGCAGCCGCGGUAAUACGGAGGGUCCGAGCGUUAUCCGGAUUUAUUGGGUUUAAAGGGAGCGUAGGUGGGUUGUUAAGUCAGUUGUGAAAGUUUGCGGCUCAACCGUAAAAUUGCAAUUGAUACUGGCAGUCUUGAGUACAGCUGAGGUAGGCGGAAUUCGUGGUGUAGCGGUGAAAUGCUUAGAUAUCACGAAGAACUCCGAUUGCGAAGGCAGCUUACUAAACUGUCACUGACAUUGAGGCUCGAAAGUGUGGGUAUCAAACAGGAUUAGAUACCCCUGUAGUC
rnacentral:rRNA from 1 species